UUUUUUUUUUUAACACUAUAAUUGAUUCUUUAUUGCACAUAUUGCUGUUUAACAAUUAAACUUGGUGUACAGCAUUUCAUCAAGUUUCCCUGUUAAAUUACCACUGAAUACCCAGGGAUAAUAUUCAGUACAAUUAACUAAUACAUUACAUUGGUUUAAUUCACAUACUAAACUAUUAUUAUAGUUGUUACAAAUAGUCUUUGCAUCUUCACAAAAAGUAUUUUUCAGAUAUAUUCAUAUAAAAAAUAUCUACACAAUAAUUGUUUUACGGAAAUUGAUCAUUCAUCCGGAAUGACUUUUUGGGUUCUUUUAUUAACUAAUCAAAAACGAAUUGCGGUCAAGUGACCUCACACGACUUUUCUGUUCCUCGUGUUGGGACAAUAUUUUUUGAAGUGUUUCGAGAAUUUGGAUUAUUAAUUUCUAUGUGGUUUUAAGCUUUGAAUAAUAUUGCGAAAAGGUAAGUUGGAGUGUAAAUAUAUUUUUCAUAGUUGCACUUUCACUUUCAGUUUUUA
rnacentral:lncRNA from 1 species